UCUCAUUUCUUUACAUACCAUCCACAUAAACUGCACCCAAUUAAGUUUUUUUUUUUUUUUCUUUUAAAUUUCAAGUGGAUAAUACAAUGAUUGGUUGCAACGAGUCUUGUGUGCCCGCUAUGUGUACUGCGGCUGCAAAUAUCUGUGGAUCCCAAACACCUUUUAUCUGCCAGAAUAAAAUACUAGAGACCCCACGGUGUUAUCCUGUGAAUCCCUGCAUUAACAUUUAUAGCUGUCAUACACAAAUCAUGUAAGAGCUACCAAGAAGACCAAAAACAAGAAUCAAGUCAAUUGAAUAUUUUAUUCAGGAACCGUUACCGCAAUGGAACAUCUACAGAGUAGAGACAUCCAGAUUGGGGGCCCUGUAAACGAAAUAAUAAACUGUAAACAAAAACAAUACAUUAAUUAUCUGGUCUUCAAAUUAGGAUCUACAGUAGAGGUACAGCUGGGCUAAAAACGUCUUAAAGUUCAAGCAAAAAGCUAACGAAUUGGGAGACGAUCACUUCUUAAAUUAGGCCCAAGCGCCAAACAAAGUAACUGCAAUGAAUAACCUGUCUUACAUAGUUGUUCACUGAAUACCGCACAUUGGGAUUGCGUCUGGUAAAGCAUUCCACAGGCCGGCCUGAGGGUCUGUUUUGGAAUACGCUGUCAUGCAUUAUCAGUGGUCUUCUUCGAGUGAUAGGGUCUAAUUCACAGUCUAGA
rnacentral:lncRNA from 1 species